rnacentral:snRNA from 1 species
GUGCUCACUUUGGCAGCACAUAUACUAAAAUUGGAACAGUACAGAGCAGAUUAGUCUGGCCACUGUGCACGGACGACAUGCAGAUUCUUGGAGUGUUUCCUAUUCAA